rnacentral:rRNA from 1 species
GCAGUCGCCACGGUAAUACGAAGGGGGCUAGCGUUGUUCGGAUUUACUGGGCGUAAAGCGCACGUAGGCGGAAAUUUAAGUCAGGGGUGAAAUCCCGAGGCUCAACCUCGGAACUGCCUUUGAUACUGGGUUUCUUGAGUCCGGAAGAGGUGAGUGGAACUGCGAGUGUAGAGGUGAAAUUCGUAGAUAUUCGCAAGAACACCAGUGGCGAAGGCGGCUCACUGGUCCGGAACUGACGCUGAGGUGCGAAAGCGUGGGGAGCAAACAGGAUUAGAUACCCCUGUAGUCCCUGUCUCUUAUAC